rnacentral:rRNA from 1 species
CGGACGGGUGAGUAACGCGUAGGUAACCUGCCCCAUACAGAGGGAUAGCCACUGGAAACGGUGAUUAAUACCUCAUAAAACUAAGAAUACACAUGUAUGCUCAGCCAAAGAUUUAUCGGUAUGGGAUGGACCUGCGUCUGAUUAGUUAGUUGGUGAGGUAACGGCUCACCAAGGCGACGAUCAGUAGCCGACCUGAGAGGGUGAUCGGCCACAUUGGAACUGAGACACGGUCCAAACUCCUACGGGAGGCAGCAG